AAGGUCCAACCUCAUGUGUCCUGUAUGCAAUGAAAGUGGGAUGCAUGUGGUCAGACCUAGA
rnacentral:pre_miRNA from 1 species